UGGUCGACGAGCUGUGGGCUGUUGAAGUGGACGUGAAUGUCGAGGCCGCCGGGCGUGGCGAUGAGACCGUCCGCGGGGACAGUAUCAGUGCUCGGGCCGACGACCAGUUCGUCGUCGACCCCGUCCAUAGUGUCCGGGUUGCCGGCCUUGCCGACGCCGACGAUGCGGCCGUUUCGGACGCCGAUGUCGCCUUUCCGGAUGCCGAGAACCGGGUCAACGACGACGACGUUGCUGAACACCCAGUCGAGAGCGCCGUCGGCCUGUGUCGUCCCCGACUGCAUGCCCAUUCCGUCCCGCAU
rnacentral:sRNA from 1 species